GAGGGUAGAGCUCAGUGAUAGAGUGCAUGCCUAGCAUGCAUGAGGUCCUGGCUUCAAUCCCCAGUACCACCA
rnacentral:tRNA from 1 species